GAUGAACGCUGGCGGCGUGCCUAAUACAUGCAAGUCGAGCGAACAGACGAGGAGCUUGCUCCUCUGACGUUAGCGGCGGACGAGUGAGUAACACGUGGAUAACCUACCUAUAAGACUGGGAUAACUUCGGGAAACCGGAGCUAAUACCGGAUAAUAUAUUGAACCGCAUGGUUCAAUAGUGAAAGACGGUUUUGCUGUCACUUAUAGAUGGAUCCGCGCCGCAUUAGCUAGUUGGUAAGGUAACGGCUUACCAAGGCAACGAUGCGUAGCCGACCUGAGAGGGUGAUCGGCCACACUAGAACUGAGACACGGUCAAGACGCCUACGGGAGGCAGCAGUAGGGAAUCGUCCGCAAUGGGCGAAAGCUUGACGGAGCAACGCCGCGUGAGUGAUGAAGGUCUUCGGAUCGUAAAACUCUGUUAUUAGGGAAGAACAAAUGUGUAAGUAACUAUGCACGUCUUGACGGUACCUAAUCAGAAAGCCACGGCUAACUACGUG
rnacentral:rRNA from 1 species